rnacentral:lncRNA from 1 species
GGUUAUGUUUUAUUAAUUUUAUUGAUUUAUAUGAUUUUAUGAUUAAGUGUUUACAUUAUGCUUAUGUUCAUUUCUUUUAUUUACAAAGUGAUAUGCCUUCAGGUUAUGAUUAGGCUAGACUAACAAUAUUGUCCGACCGUUAAGGUUAGUUAUGACAAGGAUAGAUGACGAGUCAACAGCGAAUAAGAACACCACACUUAGAUGCUUAAUAGGUUGAUUAAAAGCAUGAACUCACUACCUAGACUAUCAUUGACAGAUACGUUUUCCUAGACAUCCACGAUUUUCACGAGAUGUUGUUUGAUGAAUACGUUCUCCCGGACAUCCACGAUUCUCACGAUAUGUAGUCUGACAGAUGCGUUCUCCCAGACAUCCACGAUUUUCAUGAUUUAUGCAGUAGGGCUAGUUAGUUGAGUUGGGGGACGUCCUACAAGAAAUGAGUUACCUUAUAUAAGGUUAAGAAAGUACAAGAAUAAGAGUCAUAUGUUUGAUUUUCACAAACACCAUAGUUAUGAUAUGACAAGUAACAAGAACCAUGAUACUUACGAUCUCACAAUGCACCUAACACGAUUGAUUUGAGUUUCAAUCUUGAAUGAUGAUUAUUUAUUAUGAUCACUUUUUCUGUUAAGCUUACAUGCAUAUUUUGAUUGCUUUAUGUGAUGUGUUUAUUUAGAAAGUAGAAAUGAUUUUUAUGAAAUUACAUGACUUGUAUCCCAAUGUUUACUUGGAAUUAGUUUAUGAUAUGAGCACGAAAGACUGACUCUGAACCACCCACUAAGGUGUUUGAAAGUUGUUGCAGGAACAUAGUGGAGUUGAUUCAGGGGUGUGUCAAUGUGGACUUCGUUUAAAGAAAGUUGAAAGUUUUCAAGUGUUUAAAUGAGACUUGGUUUCAUUGAUUAUAUUAUUCAUAGGUAACAAGUUUUUCUGUUAUUAGUUCUCUUUAUUAUUUAAUUUUAAUUUGGAGUACCCUGGCUAGGGCAUUUUGAUAAAUAGUCAAGAUGUUGUUAAAGACCGUAAAGCCCUUGUGCUAUUUUCAGUUUUUCAAUGCUUUAAGGGCAUUUUAGCCAUUUAAUAAACUGCAAAAGAUGAGGGUGUUACAUAUUGGUAUCGAAGCCGGUCUCCCUCUGUCUCGUUGGGAAACCAAUGAGAGACUAGGAUUCGGUCGUGUUUUAAAUGAUUUAAAAGGUUUUGAAAGCAAGUCGCAGCUUUGAAAGUACUUAUUUAUUUUCGCAAGUCUCAAGUCGACUCCACGAAUCAGCUCACUCCUAUGAUAAGGUACUAGCAUGACUUUAUGUUUAGAAAUAUUAGCGUGAUUACUAUCUCGACGACCUCAAUUUGAGGACGAAUAUUUUUUGAAGUGUGUAGGAAAUGUUAUACCCCGAUCCUAACAACGAAAAAUAUAUUAAUGAAUGUCUCAAGUGCCCCUAGUUAAAUGUCAAGAUUAAUUUCGUUAUAAUGAAUAUAAUUACUUUUAUUGCUAUUAAUAGUACUAUUGUUGGUAUGGUUAUGAUUAUAAAUUAUAGAUAUCAUGAAUAUUAUUUCCAUGCAUAAGUUAACAUAUGUUUUAUUAGUUAACCUUUGGGAACUAUGAACUAUUAGUCUUGGUUGAUCUUUUAACCCUUUAAUUGAUUUAAUUAGGUGAACUAAGUGCCUACUCAGGAUUUAAACUUGUCUAAAGAAUCACAGUCAUUAAAUUGGUUGCAGUUUAGUGGUUAGGUUGGCUAACCACUAGAUUGGAGGGUAGAAGUUCAAUCCCUAUAUAUAUGAUGCAUCAUCUCGUUGACGUCAUGAGGAUCUCUUUCCCUUAUUUUCCCCAACGUGCCUCUGCCAUCUGUUUCGCUUCUUUUACUCCGAUGAUCUCGCACUGAUUUCUUUCCCUUAAAAAAAUUUAUUCGAUCAUAAUGGAUUCCCAGUGGAUUACUAUCAAGUACUCAUAUUAUCUAUCGUUAAAAGGAUUCCUUGGCUCUAAAAAGAAGUAACAACCCAAAAGAAAUCCAUACUCUGUUUCUCUCGACAAAGAUCGGUGACGGCGACGACAAGGUGUCAAAUAUGGAGCUCAUUUAGAACUCAUGAUUCUACAAGCGAUGGCGGUGCGCAAAUUUGUUCCCGAUUAGAGAAACAAUGAGUACUCUUGAUUCAACUUCACAGCCUCUCACAUUGUAGCAGCCGACACUUUCCGCCCUCGCCAACAACAGGUUUCGUCCGUUGUAUCCAUAAUCUCCGGAUGACUGAACCAAUAUUACUUUUCUCAGCCCUCCAGGACUUCCGAGCAAUUGAACCGAGGUUUUUUAAAGACAAUCAACUUCCCAAAUCGAACUCCAAUUUCUCCUUGAGUCUCAGCAUCUUAUUCUAAAGGUGGGUUGGUUUAAGGGAGUAAAUUCUUUAUGUUGUUGUAUUUGGGUUAUGUUUUAUUAAUUUGAUUGAUUUACAUGAUUUUAUGAUUAAGUGUUUACAUUAUGUUUAUGUUCAUUUCUUUUAUGUACAAAGUGAUGUGCCUUUAGAUUAUGAUAAGGCUAGACUAAUAUAUCAACACUAGACUAACGAUAUUGUUCGAUCAUUAAGGUUAGUAUUAUGACAAGGAUAGAUGACGAGUGAACAUCGAACAAGAACACCACACUUUGAUGAUUAAUAGGUGGAUUAAAAGCAUGAAAUCAUUACCUAAACUACGCUGACGGAUACGUUCUGCCAGACAUUCACGAUUUUCAUAAUUUAUGCGGUAGGGCUAGUUAGUUGAGUUGGGGGACGCCCUAUAAGAAAUGAGUUACCUUAGAUAAGGUUAAGAAAGUACAAGAAUAAGAGUCAUAUGCUUGACUUUCACGAACACCAUAGUUAUGAUAUGACAAGUUAAAAGAACCAUGAUACUUACGAUCUCACAAUGCACUUAACACGGUUGAUUUGAGUUUCAAUUUUGGAUGAUGAUUAUUUGUUAUGAUCACUUUUUAUGUUAAGCUUACAUACAUGUUUUGAUUACAUAAAGAUGAUUGCUUUAUCUGAUGUGUUUAUUUAGAAAGUAGAAAUGAUUUUUAUGAAAUUAUAUGACUUGUAACCCAAUGUUUACUUAGAAUUAUUUUAUGAUAUGAGCACGAAAAACUGAUCACGAACCAUCCACUAGGGUGUUUGAAAGUUGUUGCAGGAGUAGAGUGGAGCUAAUUCGGUGGUGUGGCAAUGUGGACUUGGUUUAAAAAAGGUUGAAAGUUUUCAAGUUUUUAAAUGAGACUUGGUUUCAUUGAUUAUGUUAUUUACAUGUAACAAGUUUUUAUGUUAUUAGUUCUCUUUAUUAUUUAAUUUUAAUUUGAAGUACCCUCGAUGGGGCAUUUUCGUAAAUAGUCAAGAUUUUGUUAAAGGCCCUAUAGCCCAUGUGCGAUUUUCAGUUUUCCGCUGCUCACGGCCAUUUUAGUCAUUUGAUAAAUCACAAUAGAUGAGGGUGUUGCUAUAGAACCUUUCUAGCCAUUCGGUUACCACUGUGGUGGUCGCCAGUCGGUCCUAAAUGGCAAAGUCGGAUUAUGUUGUGUAUCUCAGAAACUGUUAUAGAACGAUGGAUGAUUCCGUCGGAUCAUAUGCGGAAGAGAAAAGGAUCAUCCCAUAAGUGGUGCUUAAGAUAAGCCAAUAAUUUUUGCUUAUCUUACCAUGAAAGAUCCUUGUGGAGUUUGCGAGUAGCCAAAUAGUUGGAAAAAUCAGCAAUCCAAAAACCUUUCAAUUUUUAAGCAGCUACGUACACCAAAAAGUUCUUCGUCGGGAAAGGAAUCAUUGAUCUCAACCCCAGUCUAGUGAGAUGCUUUUGGACCUUCGAGUUUAGAAAAAUGAUUGCAUCGACAUUUCUUGCACCCUUCUUAUCGCAAAUCUCAUUGUCAAAUUCUUACAACAGCAAGGCUCAUCUAAUUAAUCACAACUUCGCAACAGAUUUGACCAAAAUAUACCUCAGUGCUUGAUGGUCAAGGAAGACUACCGUCUCCGUGUUUACCAUUGGGCCAAAGGGUUUUGUUGAUUCAUUAUUACGGACCUUGGAUAUGUUUAACUGUGGGCGAGCUGGACAGGAGGAGGUCUAGCCCGAAUGAGAUCGAUUGGGAUUUUGACCCAGAGCCCAUGACUUAAACGAAGUCCGCCUCUAUCACGGCUGAUCCGCCCGUCCCGAACUAGGGUUCCUCUUGUCUCAUUGUGUAGCCGUCAGAAUCCCUAUUCUCUCGAAUUUUCAAUGUGCUUCAGUUCCUCCCUUCUGCGGCGUUCCUGGAAGUAAGCCCAGGCGCUCAUAGUGGUUCACUAUACCUAUCUCAAUGACAGUAAGCCAUUCUUAGCCUCCGAUUCAUCUUCUAUUUCUUCUCUGGCUCAGAUUGCUUUUCCUGUUUUAACGUUAUGGAGAAUCGAUCUCAUAGGCGUCGAGCCCUUGACGAUGACUGGACUUUAUUCAUCUUUGGCGACCCAACGACGACGAGGAGAAGAUCCCGUCGCUCUUGAUCCUCGGCGUGUCGGCUUUUCCUUCCUCUCCUGGCGACUUUGGAUCGGUAAGCCUUCUUCGGAUCCUUCACUUACUUCAACCUGUUUCUGCCUCUCUAUCUAGCUCUCAUCUUUGCUUCUGCUGAUCCCAACGAUGGAAGCCCGUCCGAGCUCGGCGAGAUCGACACAGGUAAAGUCUCCAUCUUGUAUUUAUUCAUUCAGUUUGGCAUCUAGAUUAUGCUCUAACCCCACUCAUGUCUCUGGGCAAUGGGAAAUGCGGAACUGAGGCCGGACGAACCCGAGUUCCUAUUCCUAUUUACAUAUUUCUGAGUUUCGCCCAUCGUUAUUCGAAAUUUUGCCUAGUUUAUUUUUAAACUUGUACUGUUGAACCAUUAUUUAUAACUCACUCCUUAGAUAAGAUCAUUUUAACUUGAGCUCAAGCUCUUUAGAUAGUAACGUAUUAAAUUUAAAAUUAAUUUAUUAGAUAGUAAUGUCAUUCUCAUAUAUUAUUGUAGCUUUGUAUUAGGUAAAAAGUAAUGGAUUUGGCAAUUGAUUACUUGAUAUACAUAUAUUCAAUCAAAAUUCAACUCGGUGCAUGUUUCAAUUGUGAUUACGCCUUUGAUUUUACUAUUAUUAAUGAAAAAUGUUAACCUGACUUCUUAUAUCAGUUAACUUUUAGGCUUGAAAUUCCGCUCAGUGUCUUCGAUCAUCCUAGUUCCGCCAUUAUCUCUGGGUUUGAGUUAGGAGGAGCGGAGGAUUCUAUCACCAUGCUUGUUCAUCUCUUGAUCGAGCAGGUAAAGAUAUCAUUUUGGGUAGAACUUCUCCUGUUUAUUAUCUUGCCAUAUGUUUCUAAACUCGUUCUCAUGUUCUCAAAUCAGGAGGGUUAGUAACAAAGGGGAGAAAGAGGGUGAUCUAGAACAACCCCGCUUCAAUGAGGUGGACUCCAGGUAUUUCUACCUUGAAAUCCCAUUUCAUAUUGCCUUGCCAUGCCAUGAAUCCAUAAUGAAAAAAAUGCCACUGGGUCGAUAGACUACUUGUAUGGUUUCGAUCAUGAUGUCAUAUCUUCAAGUGUUUGUAUUCGUUUAGUGGGAAAGGCAUUUUGAAUAUGUACUGGUCACUUAAACCUCUCUUGGCUCACAUUUAAAUUUAGCCUCACUCAAACUCAAAAUCAAUCUAUAGAGUACGUAAUCAGUUUUUCAUGCCUAGGAUCAUCCCUUUUCCUAGGUGGAAUCACAUCUAGCGGUAUUCUCGAAUCUAGAAACUGGGGUGAUCCUAACUUGGGUGUUUUGGUCAAAAAUUAUUGUUAUUGUCUCUUAUGGGUUGCGAGGUUUAAUGAUACAAAAGGGGUAACAGUGAUGCUAGCCUUAGUGAUGUUUUUUGUUUGGUCGUAUUACCGAUUUAUGAUUUUGGAUUGAGGUCAUUGUGUAUGGUGUUGAGUGAGCUCUGUAAUUGACCGAGUUGUUGUCAAAUUGUGGGAUAAUAAUGGCUGGAAUUUCCGGUUAGCUCAUGAGGGGUGAGAUUGGUUUGAUUUGGACCUUGCUUAGCAUCUAGAGUCAAAGCAUGCUAGAAACUUAACUAAGGAUUUAUCUAUUAAUUUGUUCUCUUAGCAUAAUCAACUCUAUAAACAACGUCUAAGUUAUCACAAGCAAUCUCGACCUAGGAGAAAUCUUCUGAAAGAUCAUCUAAUGAACAAGCUCAUAACAGAGUCUAAAUUUUCAGUUCAAGUGACUUGUUAUAAUGCCCUUUUCUGCUCAUUUCAACUGAGCUCGAAUUGUCAUUAUUUCCAUGAUUGCAUUUCUUAUCCCCUGAGCUAAUUGUGUUAAACAUGGCAUAUUUUAACGCCCUUUAGCAUAUAGUAGUUCACCCAUUUACAUCAUAAGUUCAAUAAUCAAACUUAAUCCAAAGCAUGCUUAGUUUAGAGUGAUUAUGUCGAUAUGCUUAGUGCAAGCAAGAUAUUAGGAGUAGGUGUAUUAGCGAUUCUAAUUUUAUGUACCUUUCACCUUUGGAAUGUCCUUUGUGUUUUGAUCGAUGCUGAUGUUGUGGUUUUCUGCUUCUUUGCAAGGUGGCUCCAAUAGUUAUCGAUCCAAAAGCUUGAGGGACACGUGGUUUGUAAGGUUUUGAGUAUCACUAGAGUAUGGCUUGAGUGUGAUUUGAGGGUGUGAUUGGAGAAUGAUUUAAGAGAGUGAUUGAGCGUGAUUUGAGGGAGUGAUUUAGUGUGGUUUUGCAAUCUAAUUAAGCCUCUCUUUUUCGUUGUGUUUCUGUUCAUAAUCACUUUUCCGAUUUGGUGUUUUCACAUUCAAAGAAUUUUCACUUUCUAAACCUUUCUCUGAAAUUUUUAUAGAACUUUGUUCCACUUCUCCCUUCUUUUCCCUCCAAACAGCUCCUCAUUUUAUAGCCUUCAACCAGACUUCUGCCAAGGGCAGAAUGGUCAUUUCCACCUAGGCAAUACCUGUUCUUUUACUCCGACAUCUAACUUCAUCUGGGCAAUCAGUAGGCAGCGCCUACCAAGGAAAGCUUUCUUGAAGAGGCUAGGCUGGUUCCUUUUCGGCGCCCACCCUUUCUUUAGGUGUUGGGGCAACGAACCCAGAAAGUUUAGGUUGGCU